rnacentral:lncRNA from 1 species
CGCAGAAACUCACUUGAGCAGUUUUAUUAGGCUGCCGCGGACAAGGCUGGGUGCGGGUGUCGGAGCCCCCCCAUCGGGCGGGGGGGCGCCCACGAUGCCCCCGCUCUCCUGGCUCUGCCCUCCUCCCGGGAAUGGGGGCCUGCCCAUCCCCCUCCAGCAAAGGUCUAAGCCCGCUGACUGCGGGGCAGGCCUCGGUGGCCCCAUGUGUGCGACGAGGGAGGGAGCUGGAAGCGCCUUCCCGCUCCGGAGUUCCCAGCCCAGCUCUCAGUUUGGGACUGGCCCCAUUAGCAGACUUGAUGCCCCCCCCUUUCCCCGCUCGGCGCUGCAGCCAGACCCCCCCCCCGCCCUUGCUCCAGCCUCCCUCCCUCCUCCGACCCUACCUUGCGGGGCCGGGAGAUCCCUGGGAUUUCAGAAGCAGAUUCCCUGCUCACCUGGAGACCCGAGCCCCCGCCCCCGCCCCCGCCGCCUCCGAGAGCCCAGGGGUUCUGGGGGCCAGAAGGGGGGGCGCAAACAAGCCCCGAGCCAGCCCCUCCAUCUGCGGCGCGCGGACCAGCUCCCCAGAAAAGGCGGCCGGGGAGGAGACCUGGCAAAGGGGGAAGGGAGCAGAGCAGCCGGGAGGGACCCAGGCCCCCGGCAGCCGCCGCAGAUCGGCGUUUUCCCGUUGCUGUCAGAGGGCCCACAAUGGCCCGUGAUGGGUCCCUCGGCCCCGAGCUGCGUCCGGGGCGGGGGGGGGCAGGGAGGGAAGGCUGAAGUGGGGGCGCGCAGGUUUGUCUGUACAGAGCCCCCGCCCCCCAAUCCGCCCCACGAAAAUAAACGUCCUCCGUCCUCCAAAGUUUCGGAAAGGCAAGUAGACUCCAGGGAGCGCCCGGGGGGGCCGCGGGCCGGCGGGGGCCGCCACUGGGCAGGCCGCCCGCGGAGGAGGCGCGGGGGCCAGGAGGCUGAGAGGUGCCGACGUCGGGGGCUCGUUCCGCCGACGGUCCGUCCUUCUGCCGGGAAACGAAGCCUCCCUCGCCCGAAGUCCCGGCCGGCCGCCCGUCUCGGCCUCAGUUUCCCCCGCUGAGGCGGGGGCGGCGCCGCGGGCGCCGGGCAGUCUGUGGGCGGGGGGCCGCUGGGGCGGCCGCUAGCUCCGCUGGGCCCCGUUCAGCAGCUCCGUGAGCUCCCCGAUGUACUUGAUGGUGUACUUCAGGGUCUGGAUCUUGGUGAGCGGCUGCCCCCGCUGGCUGUAGACCGGGGGCAGGUAGUUGCGCAGCGUGUGCAGCGCGUCGGCCAGGGCCCUCAUGCGCAGCUUCUCGCGCUCGCUGGCCUUGCGCCGCCGCUGGGCCGACAUCCUGACCUUGGGCCCCUUGGCGGCCUUGCCGGGGCCCGGGCUCUGCAGGUAGGAGGGGGGGAAGGCCAGCAUGGCGCAGGGGCCCCCGCCCGGGCCGGGGCCGCAGGCCAGCUCGGCCGCCCCGGGGUGCGCGGGCGACGCCGACGAGGCGAAGGAGGGCGCGGGGGACAGGCUCUGCGGGGAGCCGGCCCGGCCCAGCUCGAAGGGGCCCGGCGGCUCCUUCCAGUCCCAGGCGGCCAGAAAGGCCGGGCCGGGGCAGGCCAGGCCCUGCUCCAGGCCCAGCAGCGGCUCCGGGAGCUUGUCCAUCCUGCGGGGCGUCUGCCGGGGCCGCGGCCCGGGCCCCUCUUUAUGGGGGCGGGAGGGGGGCUGGGGAAGUGGCACCUGAGGCCGAGCCAGCCGAGUUCAAAGGAGAGGCCGGGGAGGCGGCCAAUGAGCUCCCGGGCGGGGCUUUGGCCCCGUUCCCAAUUAGCGCCCCCCGGUGAAAAUGCCUUUAAACAGAAGGGCCCCCAGAGAAGCCCCAGCGCUGGAUCCGCGGAAACCAAUUAGCCCGGGUAACGGGACUUCAUUGGGAGCUAAUUAAGGAGCCGGCUAAAGAAAACAAUCCGGGCCGGGGGCAGGGCCUGCAGGAGGGAGGCUCCCGCCCCCAGGGAGCUCCCGCAGCCCGGCCCCCUCCUCUACAGGGGGGGAAACUGAGGCACCCAGAGGGCCAGGGCACACACCCAGGAAGCAUCCGGUCUGAAUCCAGCAGGCGAAGGUUCUGGGGCUGCCGGCCAGGGUCAGAGCGUCCACACGGUGUGCCCAGAGAGAGGGACGGAGCAGAGCGCAACAGGCUGAGGGCCAAGCUGGAGCCCAGCUCCUCCCCCACGUUCGGCCUCACCCCCUUCUCAGCCUCUGGGUCUCCCUCAGCAAAGUGCCCGGCUCUGCAAUGGGGCUCUGCAAUGGGGCUCCAGGAUGAUUUCCUUUGCUGACAUACCAGGAGGUUCUCCCAAAAGGGAGCUUUCCCAGCUCCGGCUUUCCCAGCUCCGGCUUUCCCAGCUCCGGCUUUCCCAGCUCCGGCUUUCCCUAUUCUGGGUUCUGCCCGCCCUUCUAGCACCAACAUUCCCUGUUCUGAGGGCCCUCCCAGCUCUGACAUCCCAUGUUCUGUAUUCUAAAAUCGCCCUAAGCUCUGACAUUCUGUGCUCUGUGUUCUAAGACCCCUCCCUCCCAGCUCUGACAUUCAUUCCAUGUUCUAUGUUCACAGACCCCUCCCAGCUCCGACAUUCCUUGUUCUGAGGCCCUUCAGGUUCUUCACGUCUGCCCAGCCUGGUCCCAUGCAUUGGGUUCUAGAAAUGGCCAGCACCGGACACAAAUAGUAGCUGUCUGUGAAACCAUCGUCUACAUCCUUCUAUUUAUCAGUUACUUCUCUGGGUGCAGAGAGCGUCUUCCUUCCCAGUUGGGGAAUGGCUGAAAAGCUGGGGCAGGAAAUUGGGGUAGAAUAUGACUGUGCUAUCGGAAAUUACAAGCUCAAGGAUCUUGGAAAACCAUGGAAAGAUUUGCAUGAAAUAAUAAAGAGCAAGAUGAGAAGAAAACAUUGUCCACAGUGAAAUUGUUUUGAUAAUGACUUUGAACAACUAAGUCACUUUUAGUAUUAUAUUUGCUAUAUUUACUAUUAUAUUUAUAUAAUUUAUUUACUAUUAUAAAAUGUCCAAAUUAAUUACAAAGGAGAUAUGCA